rnacentral:rRNA from 1 species
UACGUAGGGUGCGAGCGUUAAUCGGAAUUACUGGGCGUAAAGCGUGCGCAGGCGGUCUGUUAAGUCCGAUGUGAAAUCCCCGGGCUUAACCUGGGAACUGCAUUCGAGACUGCAUUGCUAGAGUAUGGGAGAGGGAAGUGGAAUUUCCGGUGUAGCGGUGAAAUGCGUAGAUAUCGGAAGGAACAUCAGUGGCGAAGGCGGGCUUCUGGGCUAUGGCUGACACUGAGGCGCGACAGCGUGGGGAGCAAACAGG